CCAGUCUGAGGACAAGCUGAUAAUCACCAAAAAUGUGGUGAUUUAAUUGGAUUUAAAAGGGCAUAUGAACUGUUACAGCCACACUUUUUGCAAAUUAUCAAUGACCUGUUAUGUUUCAUAAAAACUUAUUUUUUGUUCUGUUUUAUUUGUUAUGUUGAGGAAAACAAUGUGUGAAUGUACCUGAUUGAACAUCCCCUUUGUCAUUGUUGAU